rnacentral:rRNA from 1 species
AAUAUUGCACAAUGGGCGAAAGCCUGAUGCAGCAACGCCGCGUGAACGAAGAAGGCCUUUGGGUCGUAAAGUUCUGUCCAAGAGGAAGAUACUGACGGUACCCAAUGCGGAAGCCCCGGCUCACUACGUUCCAGCAGCCGCGGUAAUACGUAGGGGGCGAGCGUUGUCCGGAAUUACUGGGCGUAAAGGGUACGUAGGCGGCUAUAUAAGUCAGGUGUGAAAUAACAGUGCUUAACACUGGAAUUGCAUUUGAAACUGUGUAGCUUGAGUGCAGGAGAGGAAAGUGGAAUUCCUAGUGUAGCGGUGAAAUGCGUAGAGAUAUGGAGGAACACCAGUGGCGAAGGCGACUCUCUGGUCUGUAACUGACGCUGAGGCGCGAAAGCGUGGGGAUCAAACA